rnacentral:rRNA from 1 species
GACGUAGGAGGCGAGCGUUGUCCGGAUUCAUUGGGCGUAAAGAGCACGCAGGCGGUUUGGCAAGUCGGACGUGAAAAUCCGGGGCUCAACCCCGGACCUGCAUCCGAAACUGCCAGACUAGAGGUAGGUAGGGGAGAUCGGAAUUCCUGGUGUAGCGGUGAAAUGCGCAGAUAUCAGGAGGAACACCGGUGGCGAAGGCGGAUCUCUGGGCCUUACCUGACGCUCAGGUGCGAAAGCUAGGGGAGCGAACAGG